GAUGAACGCUGGCGGCGUGCUUAACACAUGCAAGUCGAACGGACCUUGAGGAGCUUGCUCCUCUUGGUUAGUGGCGGACGGGUGAGUAACGCGUGGGUAACCUGCCCUAUGCAGGGGGAUAACGUUUGGAAACGAACGCUAAUACCGCAUAACAUAAUUAGUUUGCAUGAACUGAUUAUCAAAGAUUUAUCGGCAUAGGAUGGACCCGCGUUGGAUUAGCUAGUUGGUGAGAUAACAGCCCACCAAGGCAACGAUCCAUAGCCGGCCUGAGAGGGUGAACGGCCACACUGGGACUGAGACACGGCCCAGACUCCUACGGGAGGCAGCAGUGGGGAAUAUUGCACAAUGGGCGCAAGCCUGAUGCAGCGACGCCGCGUGAAGGAUGAAGGUUUUCGGAUCGUAAACUUCUAUCAGCAGGGAAGAACCAAAUGACGGUACCUGACCAAGAAGCCCCGGCUAACUACGUGCCAGCAGCCGCCGUAAUAC
rnacentral:rRNA from 1 species